GAUGAACGCUAGCGGCAGGCUUAACACAUGCAAGUCGAGGGGUAGCAUGAUAGGUAGCAAUACUUAUUGAUGGCGACCGGCGCAAGGGUGCGUAACGCGUGAGUAACAUGCCCGUAUCAGGAGGAUAACCCGGAGAAAUCCGGACUAAUACUGCAUAAUAUCGAUUUGAGGCAUCUUAGAAUGAUUAAAGUUUCGACGGAUACGGAUUGGCUCGCGUGACAUUAGCUAGAUGGUAAGGUAACGGCUUACCAUGGCGACGAUGUCUAGGGGUUCUGAGAGGAAGGUCCCCCACACUGGAACUGAGACACGGUCCAGACUCCUACGGGAGACAGCAGUGAGGAAUAUUGGACAAUGGGCGAGAGCCUGAACCAGCCAAGUCGCGUGAGGGAAGACGGUCCUACGGAUUGUAAACCUCUUUUGUCGGGGAGCAAGUGCUCUACGAGUAGAGUGGUGAGAGUACCCGAAGAAAAAGCAUCGGCUAACUCCGUG
rnacentral:rRNA from 1 species